AGUUUACAUUGGGCUAAACCAAAAACAACCUCUAUUCUUCUGCAGAAGACUGGUAGGAGCGAAGGAAUGUGGUGUCUUGACCUGCUUUCAGGCACUGGAGGUGGCUAUAGUCAUCCUGCUAUCUAGCGAGAUUAUUUGUCAAACAGCAGGUGUCAUGAGGGCAACAAAAGUCCUAGCCUACUGAAUGGAUAUUUGGUCACACAUCAUACCUGGCAAUGCUGCAGAUACCAAUCGCACUGGUACAACCCCGUACGGGGGGGGGGCUGACUGAGAUAACAUAUACACUGAAAUUCCUAAAACACACACUCGACCCCCCCUUCUGGAUGGACUCCAAAGACAAAGAACUCUGUCGAGAACCAAUGGGAUACUGACACCAGGCUGGAGGAGACUGUCUAUCACCUACAAGCAACCUACCAGAAGCCAGGACUACCAGAAUCUACCUACGUCAUUUCAAUGUAUAAAAUGAACUGUAAGACAUGUGUCCGGUCUCUUUUUUCCAAUAGUUCACUAAGAGCUUGACGAAACGGGGCCGUGCAGCACGUUUUGCCAGAUAUCAUUACUCAUGAAUAAACGGCCUUUACUAUACCUUAUCCGCCUUGUCCAGAGUCUCAACUUGGUCUCGUUUCUCAUGUAUCAUUCAUCAACACUAGCUAAAGUUAACCAAUACGUUCAAUGUUAGCUAGCUAACAUUAGGCUAUAACUAGCAAUGCAAAAUGGCAUUCUGAGAAAACAUCACGUUACACACAAGUUAAUGUUAGCUAGCAA
rnacentral:lncRNA from 1 species